rnacentral:rRNA from 1 species
CACGUAGGGCGCAAGCGUUGUCCGGAUUUAUUGGGCGUAAAGAGCUCGUAGGCGGCUUGUCACGUCGGAUGUGAAAGCCCGGGGCUUAACCCCGGGUCUGCAUUCGAUACGGGCAGGCUAGAGUGUGGUAGGGGAGAUCGGAAUUCCUGGUGUAGCGGUGAAAUGCGCAGAUAUCAGGAGGAACACCGGUGGCGAAGGCGGAUCUCUGGGCCAUUACUGACGCUGAGGAGCGAAAGCGUGGGGAGCGAACAGG